AUCAAAGGUGAGCCAGUACAGGAUGGACCCGCGUCUGAUUAGCUAGUUGGUAAGGUAACGGCUUACCAAGGCGACGAUCAGUAGCCGACCUGAGAGGGUGAUCGGCCACAUUGGAACUGAGACACGGUCCAAACUCCUACGGGAGGCAGCAGUGGGGAAUAUUGCACAAUGGGCGAAAGUCUGAUGCAGCAACGCCGCGUGAGUGAUGAAGGCCUUCGGGUCGUAAAACUCUGUCCUCAAGGAAGAUAAUGACGGUACUUGAGGAGGAAGCCCCGGCUAACUACGUGCCAGCAGCCGCGGUAAUACGUAGGGGGCUAGCGUUAUCCGGAUUUACUGGGCGUAAAGGGUGCGUAGGCGGUCUUUCAAGUCAGGAGUGAAAGGCUACGGCUCAACCGUAGUAAGCUCUUGAAACUGGGAGACUUGAGUGCAGGAGAGGAGAGUGGAAUUCCUAGUGUAGCGGUGAAAUGCGUAGAUAUUAGGAGGAACACCAGUUGCGAAGGCGGCUCUCUGGACUGUAACUGACGCUGAGGCACGAAAGCGUGGGGAGCAAACAGGAUUAGAUACCCUGGUAGUCCACGCUGUAAACGAUGAGUACUAGGUGUCGGGGGUUACCCCCUUCGGUGCCGCAGCUAACGCAUUAAGUACUCCGCCUGGGAAGUACGCUCGCAAGAGGGAAACUCAAGAGAAUUGGCGGGGACCCGCACGAUUAGCGGAGGAUGUGGUUUAAUUCGAAGCAAAGCGAAGAACCUUACCUAAGCUGGACAGCCCAAUGACAUCUCCUUAAUCGGGGAGUUCCCUGCGGGGACAUUGGUGACGGGUGGUGCAUGGUUGUCGUCAGCUCGUGUCGUGAGAUGUUGGGUUAAGUCCCGCAACGAGCGCAACCCUUGUCUUUAGUUGCCAUCAUUAAGUUGGGCACUCUAGAGAGACUGCCAGGGAUAACCUGGAGGAAGGUGGGGAUGACGUCAAAUCAUCAUGCCCCUUAUGCUUAGGGCUACACACGUGCUACAAUGGGUAGUACAGAGGGUUGC
rnacentral:rRNA from 1 species